UACGUAGGGUGCAAGCGUUGUCCGGAAUUAUUGGGCGUAAAGAGCUCGUAGGCGGUCUGUUGCGUCGGCUGUGAAAACCCGGGGCUCAACCCCGGGCCUGCAGCCGAUACGGGCAGACUAGAGUUCGGUAGGGGAGACUGGAAUUCCUGGUGUAGCGGUGAAAUGCGCAGAUAUCAGGAGGAACACCGAUGGCGAAGGCAGGUCUCUGGGCCGAUACUGACGCUGAGGAGCGAAAGCGUGGGGAGCGAACAGG
rnacentral:rRNA from 1 species